UACGAAGGGGGCUAGCGUUGUUCGGAUUUACUGGGCGUAAAGCGCACGUAGGCGGAUCGAUCAGUCAGGGGUGAAAUCCCAGAGCUCAACUCUGGAACUGCCUUUGAUACUGUCGAUCUGGAGUAUGGAAGAGGUGAGUGGAAUUCCGAGUGUAGAGGUGAAAAUUCGUAGAUAUUCGGAGGAACACCAGCGGCGAAGGCGGCUUUCUGGUCCGGAUUCUGACGCUGAGGCGCGAAAGCGUGGGGAGCGAUCCGG
rnacentral:rRNA from 1 species